AUACUUACCUGGCAGGGGAGAUACUCUGAUCACAAGGUGGUUUUCCCCAGGGUGAGGCUAGUCCAGUGUACUCUAGAUGUACUAAUUCCUGCCAUUUAUUUCCCUGAAACUCAACUGCAGAAUUUUUAAUAGUGGGGUACUGGUUUGCACCCACCCCUG